GACUUUAUAACUCAGUUGGUUAGAGUAUCACGUUAACACAAAUUCGUGGUCCACGGUGUCACCGUGAAAGUCCCCGGUUCGAGCCCGGGUAAAGUCA